GGUUUGAUUAUGGCUCAGAUUGAACGCUGGCGGGAUGCUUUUGUGGUGAACGGCAGCACGGACUUCGGUCUGGUGGCGAGUGGCGAACGGGUGAGUAAUGUAUCGGAACGUGCCUAGUGGCGGGGGAUAACUACGCGAAAGCGUAGCUAAUACCGCAUACGCCCUUCCCGGGAAGCGGGGAGACCUUCGGGCCUCGCACUAUUAGAAGCAGCCGAUAUCGGAUUAGCUAGUUGGUGGGUAGCGGCUCUCAAGGCGACGAUCCGCAAACUGGUUUGAGGGAAGGACGACCAGCCACUGCUGGGACUGAGACACGGCCCGGGCUCUGCGGGAGGCAGCGGUGGGGAGCACUGGAUGUCGGAAACCCUGAUCCAGCCAUCCCGCGCGUGUGCGAUGAAGGCCUUCGGGUUGUAAAGCACUUUUGGCAGGAAAAACGGCUGGAUAAUGCCCGUGCAGCUGUGACGUGCCUGCAGAAUAGCGCAGCUGCUACGUGCCAGCAGCCGCGGUAAUGUGGGUGGCGUUAAUCGAAUUACUGGGCGUAAAGCGUGCACGGCGGGUUCGGAAAGAAAGAUGCUUGAAAUCCCAGAGCUUAACUUUGGAACUGCAUUUUAACUACCGAGCUAAGAGAGUGUCAGAGGAGGUGAAGGAAUUCCGCGUGUAGCAGUGAAAUGCGUAUGCGGGAGAGAGCGAUGGCGGCAGCCUCCUGGGAUAACACUGACGCUCAUGCACGAAAGCGUGGGGAGCAAAACAGGAUUAGAUACCCUGGUAAUCCACGCCCUAAACGAUGUCAGCUAGCUGUUGGGGCCUUCGGGCCUUGGUAGCGCAGCUAACGCGUGGAGGUUGACCAUGCAGAAGUGCGGUCGCAAGAUUAAAACUCAAAGGAAUUGACGGGGACCCGCACAAGCGGUGGAUGAUGUGGAUUAAUUCGAUGCAACGCGAAAAACCUUACCUACCCUUGACAUGUCUGGAAUCCCGAAGAGAUUUGGGAGUGCUCGCAAGAGAACCGGAACACAGGUGCUGCAUGGCUGUCGUCAGCUCGUGUCGUGAGAUGUUGGGUUAUUCCAUAUGGCUUACAGCACUUGUCAUUGAAUUUGCUACGAGGGCGCUCUAAUGCGGGCUGGUGACAAGCCGGAGAAGGUGGGGAUGACGUCAAGUCCUCAUGGCCCAUAUGGGUAGGGCUUCACACGUCAUACAAUGGUCGGGACAGAGGGUCGCCAACCCGCAGGGAGGGAGCCAAUCCCGAGAAACCCGUCGUAGUCCGGAUCGCAGUCUGCAGCUCGACACGAAGUCGGAAUCGCUAGUAAUCGCGGAUCAAUAAUAGCGGUGAAUACGUUCUCAGGUCUUGUACACACCGCCCGUCACACCAUGAGAUUAGGUUUUACCACAGAAGUAAGUUAACUAACAGCAAGGAGGCAGUUACCACGGUAGGAUUCAUGACUGGGGGUGAAGUCGUAAUAAGUGCUCUGUUUACCACAGUACUCAGACAAUAGCAGCA
rnacentral:rRNA from 1 species